rnacentral:sRNA from 1 species
AAAAAAAACCCCAAAAGAUCGGCAAAAUCAUGUUUGCAUUAAAGAAUGAGUUGUAUGCAAAUUUAUUUAAAAUAUGAUUUUUGCUAGCUCUUUAUCAAUUUUUUUUUCUAGUCAAUUCUUAUCAAUGUGAUACAUAUAUUGAUUUUUAUGUCAUGAGGUUUAAUUAUUUUUGUAUUGUGCCAUUUGAAAUUUUGGGUAGACUUGGUAAUCUAAAUUGUAAGUAUUUGGCAGAGAUAUACUAGUACAUGUACUAGUACUAGUUCUUUGCAUCUAUCAGUAUACACCUGUUACAUAUUCAUAUAUUUAUCAUCAUCUGUAAAAUUCCUUGUUUUUGAUUUUAGAGCAUUCUUUCACAGUAGACAAAAUUCGUAGUAACUUAUUACACAGAUGCUUAGACAUAACAUGUCUUGCUGUUAAAUUAUUAUGAAAUUUACUAUGUACAUCAUUAACUGGUAUCACAAUUAUGUUAAUGAAAUGCCUUUUAAGAGCAUGUUUUUAUAAUUAUGCUACAAUAGAAGCGAUGUUGUUUUGUUGUCCAUUUGAUGGCCCUGUUAAGAUUUUUUGGGACGUCAGUUUUGUACAUGACAUUUUUUAACUUUACAUAUGUUGACAUGACAGCUAAUAAAGUUGUAACUCUG